UGGUAAGAAGUUUUGAAGUGCAUGUUGAAGUUAUGCAUAAGUUGUUGAAGGUUUGUUAUGAUUUGGGUAAGUUGUUGAAGCAUUAAUUUGUGAAAAAGUCAAGCUAUUUAAGUUUUAAAUUUUGCUUUAAAAUAGGAUCUAAUUGAAUUGCUUUGAUUAUUUUUUUUUUAUUGAUAUGUAGUAGAUUUUUUGUAUUUUUAUAGGAUUUACUGUUUUCUUGUGACUCUUGUAUUUUUCUCAAUAUAUUUAAUAAAGAGAUAUGACUUUAUAACCCAUAAAUAUUACUUCUGUUAUUUCUCUUCUCCUCUCAAAAAUUAAUAAAUGGUAUCAGAGCUAGUUUUUUACGAGUUUAUCAAUUUGAGAGAGAUUCAAAAUGAGAAAAGAAAAUUGAUAUGGAGAUAAAGGAAAAAAAUGCCUAACAAAUUAGGCACAAGUAAACAGCAGAAUUGAGGCAUGACAUCCAUGGAAAAUUCUCGAAGAAAAAUACAAAAUCAAGCUAUUCCAAGAGGAGAACAAGGACUUCUCCAAGAACAUAAUAUAAAGUCAUGCCAAGAGGAGAACAAGACCUUAUCCAAAAACAACAAAGUCAUGCCAAGAUGUGAGGACUUCUCCAAAAACAUCAAAGUCAAGCUACAAGUAGGCAGCCAAGCACCUCCAACAAAACAAAUCAUUCACAAUACAAGUUUUGGUGGAAGCUAGAUGUUAAUUGCAACAAUUAUGACCAAAUUGGUCACAUAGAAAGGGUAUGCACAACUCAACAACAAGAUGUUGAAAUCAAAGUUGAUUUAAAUCCAAGAGAUUAAAUUCCAUGAUUCCAAUUUUGUUUUCAUUUUUGAAACAAUCAAACAUAAUGAUAUUUAAGAAAAUGUACACAUAACCUGAUUUAAUUUAACCUAAAUUAUGGUGAUUCAAAUACAAAAUACCACCCAAAAAAUGGAAAUAUGAACAAUUGAAUGGAGUUAUGUUGUGAUCACGUUUCAUUUCCAUUUCCAAAGCAAACCAAAAGUGCUCUAAUAUCUCAGGCCAUCAAUUUUCGCCCCUGACUUGGCAUGUUAUUUAGGCUAACACCAGGUUUCCACUACUAUGUUUUGCUUAAUUCAAAGCCAUUUAUGCUUUCUUGGUGCAUGUUUCAAAUCCUAUACCAGUAUAUCAUAUGCAACAUUCAUAGUAAAAUUUUUGAGACUUAAUGAUUUUAUUUUUUUUACAAGAAUUUUUUAAUAUAUGAC
rnacentral:lncRNA from 1 species